rnacentral:rRNA from 1 species
UACAGAGGUCUCAAGCGUUGUUCGGAUUCAUUGGGCGUAAAGGGUGCGUAGGUGGCGAGGUAAGUCUGGUGUGAAAUCCCGGGGCUCAACCCCGGAACUGCACUGGAUACUGCUUUGCUUGAGUACCGGAGAGGAGAUUGGAAUUUACGGUGUAGCAGUGAAAUGCGUAGAUAUCGUAAGGAAGACCAGUGGCGAAGGCGAAUCUCUGGACAGUUACUGACACUGAGGCACGAAGGCCAGGGGAGCAAACGGG